rnacentral:rRNA from 1 species
AACGUUCCGUAGUUGAACCUGCGGAAGGAUCAUUA